UGGGGAAUUUUGGACAAUGGGCGAAAGCCUGAUCCAGCAAUGCCGCGUGUGUGAAGAAGGCCUUCGGGUUGUAAAGCACUUUUGUCCGGAAAGAAAUCCUUGGCUCUAAUACAGUCGGGGGAUGACGGUACCGGAAGAAUAAGCACCGGCUAACUACGUGCCAGCAGCCGCGGUAAUACGUAGGGUGCAAGCGUUAAUCGGAAUUACUGGGCGUAAAGCGUGCGCAGGCGGUUUGCUAAGACCGAUGUGAAAUCCCCGGGCUCAACCUGGGAACUGCAUUGGUGACUGGCAGGCUAGAGUAUGGCAGAGGGGGUAGAAUUCCACGUGUAGCAGUGAAAUGCGUAGAGAUGUGGAGGAAUACCGAUGGCGAAGGCAGCCCCUGGGCCAAUACUGACGCUCAUGCACGAAAGCGUGGGGGAGCAAACAGGAUUAGAUACCCUGGUAGUCCACGCCCUAAACGAUGUCAACUAGUUGUUGGGGAUUCAUUUCUUAGUAACGUAGCUAACGCGUGAAGUUGACCGCCUGGGGAGUACGGUCGCAAGAUU
rnacentral:rRNA from 1 species